rnacentral:tRNA from 1 species
GCCCCUAUAGCUCAACGGAUUAGAGCAGCGCACUCCUAAGGCGCAGAUGGUGGUCCGAUUCCUCCUAGGGGCACAA